UGGGGAAUUUUGGACAAUGGGCGAAAGCCUGAUCCAGCAAUGCCGCGUGUGUGAAGAAGGCCUUCGGGUUGUAAAGCACUUUUGUCCGGAAAGAAAUCCUUGGCUCUAAUACAGUCGGGGGAUGACGGUACCGGAAGAAUAAGCACCGGCUAACUACGUGCCAGCAGCCGCGGUAAUACGUAGGGUGCAAGCGUUAAUCGGAAUUACUGGGCGUAAAGCGUGCGCAGGCGGUUUGCUAAGACCGAUGUGAAAUCCCCGGGCUCAACCUGGGAACUGCAUUGGUGACUGGCAGGCUAGAGUAUGGCAGAGGGGGGUAGAAUUCCACGUGUAGCAGUGAAAUGCGUAGAGACGUGGAGGAAUACCGAUGGCGAAGGCAGCCCCCUGGGCCAAUACUGACGCUCAUGCACGAAAGCGUGGGGAGCAAACAGGAUUAGAUACCCUGGUAGUCCACGCCCUAAACGAUGUCAACUAGUUGUUGGGGAUUCAUUUCCUUAGUAACGUAGCUAACGCGUGAAGUUGACCGCCUGGGGAGUACGGUCGCAAGAUU
rnacentral:rRNA from 1 species